AGUGAACGCUGGCGGUAGGCCUAACACAUGCAAGUCGAACGGCAGCACAGUAAGAGCUUGCUCUUACGGGUGGCGAGUGGCGGACGGGUGAGGAAUACAUCGGAAUCUACUUUUUCGUGGGGGAUAACGUAGGGAAACUUACGCUAAUACCGCAUACGACCUACGGGUGAAAGCAGGGGAUCUUCGGACCUUGCGCGAUUGAAUGAGCCGAUGUCGGAUUAGCUAGUUGGCGGGGUAAAGGCCCACCAAGGCGACGAUCCGUAGCUGGUCUGAGAGGAUGAUCAGCCCCAAUGGAACUGAGACACGGUCCAGACUCCUACGGGAGGCAGCAGUGGGGAAUAUUGGACAAUGGGCGCAAGCCUGAUCCAGCCAUACCGCGUGGGUGAAGAAGGCCUUCGGGUUUUAAAGCCCUUUUGUUGGGAAAGAAAAGCAGCAGGUUAAUACCCCGCUGUUCUGACGGUACCCAAAGAAUAAGCACCGGCUAACUUCGUG
rnacentral:rRNA from 1 species